GACGUAGGAUGCAAGCGUUGUCCGGAAUUAUUGGGCGUAAAGAGCUCGUAGGCGGCCUGUCGCGUCGGAUGUGAAAGCCCGGGGCUUAACCCCGGGUCUGCAUUCGAUACGGGCAGGCUAGAGUUCGGUAGGGGAGAUCGGAAUUCCUGGUGUAGCGGUGAAAUGCGCAGAUAUCAGGAGGAACACCGGUGGCGAAGGCGGAUCUCUGGGCCGAUACUGACGCUGAGGAGCGAAAGCGUGGGGAGCGAACAGG
rnacentral:rRNA from 1 species